rnacentral:lncRNA from 1 species
UAAGCUGCAGAAGCCACAAAGAGCAGAGGAGCCCUCUGCAUUGUGAUUUGGAGCUUGCACAAACCUCUGCCUAGCGAGGAAAGGGAACGGGAACAGAGAGAGGGCAACGUGGGACUGUGGCUCCCUAGCCAUGAAGUCUGCUGGCCACCUCUUCUGGGAGAAAUAGCACAAGCAAGGACUGAGUGAUGGGGCUGAGCAUAGCAAGCUCAUUCUCAUCAUGGCAAAAAGAUUAGGGAGGAGCUGCAAAGUUUGGUACCAAGGGAUUGUGCUUUAAUUGUUUUUUUUUAGUAAUUCACCCCAAAGCACUGAUGGACAUAUUAAUAAGUGGUAAUAAUUGGAAAGGUAAGCUCUGAGCUAGCAAAAUGUUUUUAUUUUUUAUUAUUUUAUUUUUAUUUUUUUUAAUAUUUUUUAUUUUUAUUUAUUCCUUGCCGUCGGAUAGCCAUGUUAAGGAAAGACUGGUGGGACAUCAAAGACAUCUGAACACUCUGGGAGAGUUUUGGCAUGUGAGGCUGAAGUGUCAGCUGAUGCAAAACUUCAAUGUGAGAAAAUCUUAGAUGACAAAGGAUAUGAGUGAGACAUCACUGGCUGAAUGAGCUGUAGCAUGAAAGAUCAGUAAAAGUAUGCCUUCCCUUACUUGAAUGACUUUUAUUUUUUAUUUUUUUUCCCUUUUUAAAUCCCCUGGCUUACUUGCUUUUAGCAAACACAUAGGUAAUGACAGGUAAUGGUGACCCCUGUUGCAAAUGGCUUAGAGUAAAAAGAAAGAAAUAAGUCACAGAAAGGUUGGAUUUCAUGAUUAAGCAUGGUCAUCACGAAAUAAUGGUACAUGCAAUCAUUCCUCAGUCUUAAGCAGGUGAAGAAGUGAAUAUUUUCAAGGUCAUUUUUGCAGUCUGGAGCACAUUUGUGGUCCUCAGCCGAUGAGUGGUGCAGGGGGAAAAUCAGAGGACGGCAUCUGACAAAAUUGACCUCUUAUCCCAGGUCCUCCCCUGGCCAAUCUCUCCACUGCUGAGCUGUGAUCUCACAGCAGGUGAAGGAGGGCAGUCACACUUGGUGUCUGGGAAAAACAGGGGUUAUAAAGAGGUCAGCUCAGUAAAGAUCCUAAACUGCCUGUUUUGUGUGCCCUGAUUGCAGCUGUAACCUUGUGAUGCUUUUUCAUUUUUCCUUUCCGUUUGUUGCUGGAAGACAGUGACUUGUUAGGCUACAGACUGGUAAGACUGUGCUGGCGGUAGGUGCAUGUCGCUGAACAGGACACUCAGGGUCUCUGAAGUGGCUGCCUGGUACUUGCAGACAAGCUGGUAAUGGGUAUCUCAUCCAGAAGGAUCUACAGAGCAUCCCUUCCACAAGCUGUCAAACCCCAAAGGCUGCGUAAGGCUUUCCAGCACCCUGCGAUGAAUGUGACUUUCCAAAGUCCUUUUCCACUUUACUGCCCCACAGACUCUGCAAAAUACAGAGCAAAAGCCAUGGCC